GUAGGUGAACCUGCGGAAGGAUCAUUAUUGAAUAAGCUUGGUUAGGUUGUUGCUGGCUCUUCGGGGCAUGUGCACACCUGACGCCAACUUUUCUUACCACCCGUGCACUUUUUGUAGACUUUGGAAUACCUCUCGAGGAAACUCGGUUUUGAGGACUGCUGUGCGCAAGCCGGCUUUCCUUACAUCUUCCGGUCUAUGUUUUUCUAUAUACCCCUAUAGUAUGUCACAGAAUGUCAUUUUAAUGGGCUUAAUUGCCUUUAAACCUAUACAACUUUCAACAACGGAUCUCUUGGCUCUU
rnacentral:misc_RNA from 1 species